ACUAGGAUGAUGAUCUUAAUGAAUCGAUUGUUGGCUAUGAUGAGAUAUAACUUCAAGAGGGGUUGUUUCACAUUGCUGUUCCGUGGUAUGUUGAAGUUGAUGCACUAUGGUAGUCAGAGCCUGAACUUGCUAAACCAAGAAAGUAAAUUAUUGAAGAUUAACUAUAAUUGGUCGUUGAGUAGCUUUCGGUACAUCUCUCAGAGAAGAUCACAAGGGUAAGGAGUUGUUCUGUGCUCAUCUUUUCCAUUUUUUCACUAAAAAUUUGGACAAGGUCCUUCCUUUAGUGCCAAUCUAUUGUUGUGAUGCUUCGAGCUG
rnacentral:lncRNA from 1 species